rnacentral:rRNA from 1 species
CAGUCGCCGCGGGAAAACGGAAGGUGCAAGCGUUACUCGGAAUCACUGGGCGUAAAGGACGCGUAGGCGGAUUAUCAAGCCUCUUGUGAAAUCUAACGGCUUAACCGUUAAACUGCUUGGGAAACUGAUAAUCUAGAGUAAGGGAGAGGCAGAUGGAAUUCUUGGUGUAGGGGUAAAAUCCGUAGAUAUCAAGAAGAAUACCUAUUGCGAAGGCGAUCUGCUGGAACUUAACUGACGCUAAUGCGUGAAAGCGUGGGGAGCAAACAGGAUUAGAUACCCGAGUAGUCCCUGUCUCUUAUAA